rnacentral:lncRNA from 1 species
UUGACUUUUCUCCCCCAAUUUUUUUGUUUGUGCAAUUCAUUUCUUUUUUUUUUGUUUUUCCCGUCGUUUCUUCUUCUUCUUCUUCCUCCCUCAACUCAAGUUGCUCCUUCUUUUUCUUUUUCUUACCCUAGUCGCCUUGCUUUUAGACCGCUGCUAGGCCACUGUCCGGCCUCCUCCUGUGAGCUCUUCGACCAACUAAGACUCCAGAGGACUUAGUUAACGAUGACCCCAAAGCCCUCUGGUGAGCUCUCUCGAGUCUAACUCCCGUUUUCAUAUUUUGGUUAAUGGGUUAGUAGCUUUAACCAAUUUUAGUUGUGGGGGUUUAGCAAAGAUUUAUAGAAUAUUUUCUUCAGAGAUUUAGUUGGAAAUUUGUCUCGUUCUAGUCGCUGGUGUUGUCGGUUUUAAAGGUCGUCUCUUUCACCUUUUUCAUUCUUCCUUGCUUCUCUGUUCUCUCUCUUUUCUUUUUUUUUUUACUUCUUUGCUUGGUAGGUCCUUGUCAUUUUGGCUAAUGGAGUAGAUUCUCUUCUUUUUUUUUUUUUAAUAUUGGUUGUUGUUUGAUUCUUAUUGGGUUUGAUAGAUUUGGUAUUUGGAUUUGAUUUCUGGUAAUGGGGGAAUUUGAAUCAUUCAUUGGGUUGAUGUGGUGAGAAUGAUGAAACAUAGUAGAUGGUGGUGGUGAUUUUAGGGUGAAGGUUUCACUUUCACUCUUAGACUUCCUUCAAGCUUCAGUGUGAAUCAUUGAUGAAGCUGCUUUCGGCAAAAACUUCAACAUCUUGUUUUUGGGUUUCAUCUGUUUCUCCAUUAUUGUUUGUAAAAAAAAAUAUCAUUUUUUUUCCAACUUUCUUUCUAAUAUUUUGUUUCAUUAGCCCGAUUAUAGGUUCCUUUCCAUUGUUUUUCCAAAAAAUGUUACUUUUCUACUAGUAAUUAAUUUUCCAGUAAACACAGAGGUAAGAAAGUUUUUCUCAGUUUUAUGUAUUAUUUUAAAUAAUUAUCCAAAUUUCAAUUUCAAUUGGGUUUUGUUUUCCAUGACAUACCUGUUUAAAUAAAAAGGAUUGAUUCCUUUAACAAUAAUGGAAUCGAAAACUUCAAAACAAAAAUAAUGGUUCAUCAUCAUCUCUUCAAUUCAAUUACAAAUUCAAAAUUAUUUCACAUAUAAACUAAAAUAGAUAAAUUAAUAUCCACAAUAGCCUAUUAAAACACAACCAAGCAAAACGAUAAAAGAAACCCAUAAAAACUAGGGAAGCAAAAAUUGCAGAUUUUAUCCAAUUUGCCUUCAAUUUUUUCUUAUUGUUUUAAAAAUAUCAAACAUUGAAGAAAGAAGAUAAUUUGUUGAUUUCUAGAGAUAGUACCAAAAGGAUCCAUAAAGGGAAGAUAGAGAAAAUAGGAGGAGAGAAGAAGAAGAGAGAAAAGUGAAAUUAGGAAGAAGAAAAGAAAAACUGGGAAAAAGAACGGAAAAAGGGAAAAAAGGGAAAUAAUUUUUACAAAUAUUUUUAUUAAUUUUUAAUAUUUUUUAGAUUAUGACAUCAUCAUUUAUGCCACAUGCCACGAUCUUAUUUCGUCACCUGUCUUGAACUUAACGAUGUUAGACUCAGGUUCCGAUUUAGUUGAUAGAAAAAAAGUUUGAGUACUAAUCUAGGACCAAAAAAAAACCAUAACUACUAAUCUAGGAGAAAUGGACAAAUUCGAGUACCAAUUUUAUAUUUAACCUUAAUUUUUACCUUUCAUAUCCAUUUUUCCUCAUUUUCCAAUUUCGUCUCUUUUUCCAUACUUUAAAUACAAAACAAUAAUAUUACCUUAUAAUUAAUAUCCAAUAAAUUUCAACACAUUCACAAAC